GAUGAAGAACGCAGCGAAAUGCGAUAAGUAGUGUGAAUUGCAGAAUUUAGUGAAUCAUCGAAUCUUUGAACGCACAUUGCGCCCUUUGGUAUUCCUUAGGGCAUGCCUGUUCGAGCGUCAUUUAAACCUUCAAGCUAAGCUUGGUGUUGGGUGACUGUCCGCUUCACGGCGGACUCGCCUCAAAAUUAUUGGCGGCCGGUACAUUGGCUUCGAGCGCAGCAGAAACGCGAACUCGGGCCCGUCGUAUUGGCUCCCAGAAGCUAUCUUCACAAUUUUGACCUCGGAUCAGGUAGGGAUACCCGCUGAACUUAAGCAUAUCAAUAAGCGGAGGA
rnacentral:misc_RNA from 1 species